GGAAAGAUGGCAGAGUGGUCGAUUGCAUCGGUCUUGAAAACCGACGACUGUAACAGGUCCGGGGGUUCGAAUCCCUCUCUUUCCGCCA
rnacentral:tRNA from 1 species